rnacentral:rRNA from 1 species
GUACACUCCUACGGGAGGCAGCAGUGGGGAAUUUUGGACAAUGGGCGAAAGCCUGAUCCAGCAAUGCCGCGUGAGUGAAGACGGCCUUCGGGUUGUAAAGCUCUUUUGUCAGGGAAGAAACGGUGAGAGCUAAUAUCUUUUGCUAAUGACGGUACCUGAAGAAUAAGCACCGGCUAACUACGUGCCAGCAGCCGCGGUAAUACGUAGGGUGCAAGCGUUAAUCGGAAUUACUGGGCGUAAAGCGUGCGCAGGCGGUUUUGUAAGUCUGAUGUGAAAUCCCCGGGCUCAACCUGGGAAUUACAUUGGAGACUGCAAGGCUAGAAUCUGGCAGAGGGGGGUAGAAUUCCACGUGUAGCAGUGAAAUGCGUAGAUAUGUGGAGGAACACCGAUGGCGAAGGCAGCCCCCUGGGUCAAGAUUGACGCUCAUGCACGAAAGCGUGGGGAGCAAACAGGAUUAGAUACCCGGGUAGUCCCA